rnacentral:rRNA from 1 species
UACGUAGGGGGCAAGCGUUGUCCGGAAUCAUUGGGCGUAAAGAGCGUGUAGGCGGCCCGGUAAGUCCGCUGUGAAAGUCGGGGGCUCAACCCUCGAAAGCCGGUGGAUACUGUCGGGCUAGAGUGCGGAAGAGGCGAGUGGAAUUCCUGGUGUAGCGGUGAAAUGCGCAGAUAUCAGGAGGAACACCGAUUGCGAAGGCGGCGACCUGGGUCGAUACUGACGCUGAUGCGCGAAAGCGUGGGGAGCAAACAGG